rnacentral:rRNA from 1 species
AGAAUCAACGCUGGCGGCGUGCCUAACACAUGCAAGUCGCACGAGAAAGGGGAGCAAUCCCUGAGUACAGUGGCGCACGGGUGAGUAACACGUGAAUAAUCUACCUCCGAGUGGGGAAUAACUGAGAGAAAUCUUAGCUAAUACCGCAUAACACUUACGAGUCAAAGCAGCAAUGCGCUUGGAGAGGAGUUCGCGGCAGAUUAGUUAGUUGGCGGGGUAAUGGCCCACCAAGACGAUGAUCUGUAU